GAUGGAUCCAAACCAAUCCAUUAACAACUUUUUUUGUUUUAUGGAUGGAUAGGAUGGAUUUUUUA
rnacentral:pre_miRNA from 1 species